CAAGCAUUGAUUAGGUGACCUCUUCUAUCGAUUAGUGUCCCAAAAGUUUGAAGACCUUGCCGAAGGUGCAACAACUUGAAAGGCACAAAGAUAUUGAUAAACACAUGAACC